UACGAAGGGGGCUAGCGUUGUUCGGAAUUACUGGGCGUAAAGCGCACGUAGGCGGAUUUGUAAGUCAGGGGUGAAAUCCCGGGGCUCAACCUCGGAACUGCCUUUGAUACUGCAAGUCUUGAGUCCGGAAGAGGUGAGUGGAAUUCCUAGUGUAGAGGUGAAAUUCGUAGAUAUUAGGAAGAACACCAGUGGCGAAGGCGGCUCACUGGUCCGGUACUGACGCUGAGGUGCGAAAGCGUGGGGAGCAAACAGGAUUAGAAACCCCAGUAGUCC
rnacentral:rRNA from 1 species